rnacentral:lncRNA from 1 species
AGUUAAUUGGUAGGUGUGGUUAAUAAUUAUGGCCCAUCCUACAUUGUAGUGAAGAUGUGUGGCUUAUUCUUGUUAACAAAUUGACUGGCUGGGACUUCAAUAUUAAAGGACCUUCUUUCUUGAUGUCUUUGGGCGACGGGACAUCUUUCACUAUCAUUGGGGAGUUGUUAUACUCAAUCUUGGCCUGUCCGAGGCUAACCUUAUCCAUUACAACUGUAGUUACCGAGUGAGAUGGACUUUGAUGUACACUAAUGAAGUCUUACUCCUUCUCAAGGCGAUGGAUCAUCUUUUACCAAGAUAGGACAGCUUAUAUUCAUUAUAUCUAUUCAAUUGUACAACAUUACUGUAUAUACUGAGAUAUUUAGCUGUUGUUUAAUUACUGUGUGGUGUGUAAACUGUAUUACCUGUAUUUUAGUGUAGUAUCAAGUUUAUUAUAACAAUAACAGUGACUAUUUAGCUAACUAUUAGGUGUGAUGAUGGCAGUAGUGUUGUUAUUACUUAAAAGAAUGUAUUAUUAAUAAAUUAA